rnacentral:rRNA from 1 species
GUGCCAGCCGCCGCGGUAAUACGAAUGGGGCGAGCGUUGUUCGGAAUCACUGGGCUUAAAGCGUGCGUAGGCGGAUAUGAAAGUCAGAAGUGAAAGCCCAGGGCUCAACCCUGGAACUGCUUUUGAAACUUCAUAUCUAGAGUCCCGGAGAGGUUAACGGAAUUCCGAGUGUAGAGGUGAAAUUCGCAGAUAUUCGGAGGAACACCAGUGGCGAAGGCGGUUAACUGGACGGGUACUGACGCUGAGGUACGAAAGCGUGGGGAGUAAACAGGAUUAGAUACCCCAGUAGUCC